GAAUCUUCCACAAUGGACGCAAGUCUGAUGGAGCAACGCCGCGUGAGUGAAGAAGGUUUUCGGAUCGUAAAGCUCUGUUGUUGGUGAAGAAGGAUAGAGGCAGUAACUGGUCUUUAUUUGACGGUAAUCAACCAGAAAGUCACGGCUAACUACGUGCCAGCAGCCGCGGUAAUACGUAGGUGGCAAGCGUUGUCCGGAUUUAUUGGGCGUAAAGCGAGCGCAGGCGGAAUGAUAAGUCUGAUGUGAAAGCCCACGGCUCAACCGUGGAACUGCAUCGGAAACUGUCAUUCUUGAGUGCAGAAGAGGAGAGUGGAACUCCAUGUGUAGCGGUGGAAUGCGUAGAUAUAUGGAAGAACACCAGUGGCGAAGGCGGCUCUCUGGUCUGCAACUGACGCUGAGGCUCGAAAGCAUGGGUAGCGAACAGGAUUAGAUACCCUGGUAGUC
rnacentral:rRNA from 1 species